ensembl:lncRNA
CUGCCCCCCACCAGCUCAGGCUGCCCAGGGCCCCAUCCAACCUGGCCUUGAGCGCCUCCAGGGAUGGGGCACCACAGCUUCUCUGGGCAGCUGUGCCAGCGCCCUCUGCAUAAAGAAACUAUGAGUUAUGGUGCCAAUAUUUAUUGCUGGGGGAGUGGAGGAAAUGACAAUUCCACAAACCAUAACCCCUGUGAUAGAAAAAGAAAUAAGGAAAAGAAUCAACAUCUCCGUGCCUCUGGCUCAGUAUUGCACUUGAUGUGCAGGUCCACUCCUAUACCGAUGAAGCAUUUAAGCAGAGCAGUAUAAACAUAUGCUUAUAUUUCGCUAGCAGGAAAUUUAAAUCAACAUUUAUCUCCAUAAAGCCAGUCCUCAAAGAAUGAAUCAGGGACCAAAUCGGUAUUGUAAUUGAACUAAAAUAAUCCUAAGCUUCCUCUAAAAGCACAUAGCUUUAACCUGUCACGUCGAAUGAGAAUUAUACACUUAAACUAUAAUCUUCCUGUUCCCUUAGUCAUCAGAGCCCAGAUCAAAGUGAAAGAGGAAAAAAGCACAGAUGCUGCUCGGUUGUGAAGGAGGAGGUGGGGCACACAGGGAGUUUUGCAGGUUACCGGUGGGCAUGGUUGCUCCUGUGGUGGCACAGAAUGAAGGUGGGGACAGUGAUGGAGUUGGAGAGCUAUAACUGUGUGCUCCCUUGGCAGGACUGGGGUCAGCAUUGCAGAAGCCGCACUAUUAAUCCACUGGAGAUCGAUGAAAACCAACAUUUUUUUUUCAUAGAAUCCACAGAAUUCAUAGAAUGGUUUGGGUUGGAAGAGUCCUUCAAGCCCACUCACCCCAACCUGUGCCGUGGGCAGGGCUGCCCCCCACCAGCUCAGGCUGCCCAGGGCCCCA